GGAUAGCUCAGUAGAGCAUGUGCUUGGGAUGCACGAGGUCCUGGGUUCAGUCCCCAGUACCUCCU
rnacentral:tRNA from 1 species